rnacentral:rRNA from 1 species
GAUGAACGCUGGCGGCGUGCCUAAUACAUGCAAGUCGAGCGAACGGACGAGAAGCUUGCUUCUCUGAUGUUAGCGGCGGACGGGUGAGUAACACGUGGAUAACCUACCUAUAAGACUGGGAUAACUUCGGGAAACCGGAGCUAAUACCGGAUAAUAUUUUGAACCGCAUGGUUCAAAAGUGAAAGACGGUCUUGCUGUCACUUAUAGAUGGAUCCGCGCUGCAUUAGCUAGUUGGUAAGGUAACGGCUUACCAAGGCAACGAUGCAUAGCCGACCUGAGAGGGUGAUCGGCCACACUGGAACUGAGACACGGUCCAGACUCCUACGGGAGGCAGCAGUAGGGAAUCUUCCGCAAUGGGCGAAAGCCUGACGGAGCAACGCCGCGUGAGUGAUGAAGGUCUUCGGAUCGUAAAACUCUGUUAUUAGGGAAGAACAUAUGUGUAAGUAACUGUGCACAUCUUGACGGUACCUAAUCAGAAAGCCACGGCUAACUACGUGCCAGCAGCCGCGGUAAUACGUAGGUGGCAAGCGUUAUCCGGAAUUAUUGGGCGUAAAGCGCGCGUAGGCGGUUUUUUAAGUCUGAUGUGAAAGCCCACGGCUCAACCGUGGAGGGUCAUUGGAAACUGGAAAACUUGAGUGCAGAAGAGGAAAGUGGAAUUCCAUGUGUAGCGGUGAAAUGCGCAGAGAUGUGGAGGAACACCAGUGGCGAAGGCGACUUUCUGGUCUGUAACUGACGCUGAUGUGCGAAAGCGUGGGGAUCAAACAGGAUUAGAUACCCUGGUAGUCCACGCCGUAAACGAUGAGUGCUAAGUGUUAGGGGGUUUCCGCCCCUUAGUGCUGCAGCUAACGCAUUAAGCACUCCGCCUGGGGAGUACGACCGCAAGGUUGAAACUCAAAGGAAUUGACGGGGGCCCGCACAAGCGGUGGAGCAUGUGGUUUAAUUCGAAGCAACGCGAAGAACCUUACCAAAUCUUGACAUCCUUUGACAACUCUAGAGAUAGAGCCUUCCCCUUCGGGGGACAAAGUGACAGGUGGUGCAUGGUUGUCGUCAGCUCGUGUCGUGAGAUGUUGGGUUAAGUCCCGCAACGAGCGCAACCCUUAAGCUUAGUUGCCAUCAUUAAGUUGGGCACUCUAAGUUGACUGCCGGUGACAAACCAGAGGAAGGUGGGGAUGACGUCAAAUCAUCAUGCCCCUUAUGAUUUGGGCUACACACGUGCUACAAUGGACAAUACAAAGGGCAGCGAAACCGCGAGGUCAAGCAAAUCCCAUAAAGUUGUUCUCAGUUCGGAUUGUAGUCUGCAACUCGACUACAUGAAGCUGGAAUCGCUAGUAAUCGUAGAUCAGCAUGCUACGGUGAAUACGUUCCCGGGUCU